rnacentral:rRNA from 1 species
UACGGAGGGUGCGAGCGUUGUCCGGAAUCACUGGGCGUAAAGGGCGCGUAGGCGGCCUGAUAAGUAGGGGGUGAAAUCCUGCGGCUUAACCGCAGGGCUGCCUUCUAAACUGUCGGGCUAGAGCACGGUAGAGGCAGAUGGAAUUCCCGGUGUAGCGGUGGAAUGCGUAGAGAUCCGGAAGAACACCGGUGGCGAAGGCGGCCUGCUGGGCAGUGGCUGACGCUGAGGCGCGACAGCGUGGGGAGCAAACAGG